rnacentral:rRNA from 1 species
UUGACCCGUCUUGAAACACGGACCAAGGAGUCUAACAUGUGCGCGAGUCAUUGGGUCUUGAUUAGGCCCAAAGGCGUAAUGAAAGUGAAGGGCGGUUCGGCCGUCUGCCUUGGGAUCCCGUGGACCUAGCGUUCGCGGGCGCACCAAGGGCCCGUCCCGGUCGCCUCGUCGACGGGGCGGAGCAAGAGCGUACACGUUGGGACCCGAAAGAUGGUGAACUAUGCCUGGGCAGGACGAAGCCAGAGGAAACUCUGGUCUGCCGAAGCAACUAGCCCUGAAAAUGGAUGGCGCUUCAGCGUCUACCCCAUAUCAAGCCGCUGCGGCCGAAAAGCCUCGUGUUUUAAGCCGCAGUGAGUAGGAGGGGCGCGGAGGCGAGCGUCGAAGGUGCCGGGCGUAAGCCCGCCUGGAGCCGCCUCCGGCGCAGAUCUUGGUGGUAGUAGCAAAUACUCAAGUGAGAACCUUGAGGACUGAGGUGGAGAAGGGUUCCAUGUGAACAGCAGUUGAACAUGGGUCAGUCGGUCCUAAGGGAUAGGAGAAAUCCGUUCCGAGGCGGGACCUCUCUAAGCAAGUCCCGCUGAUGACCGAAAGGGAAUCGGGUUAAUAUUCCCGAACCCGGACACGGAGAUCGUCCUUUUCGGAGGUACAUUGCGGUAACGCAAACGAGCUCGGAGACGUCGACGGGAGCACCGGGAAGAGUUAUCUUUUCUUUGUAAGGAUUCGACUCCCUGGAAUCGGCUCGCCCGGAGAUAGGGAUGGUGUUCCGUAAAGCACCGCGCCUCUUGCGGUGUCCGGAUCGCUCCCGUC